CUGUGAGGGAAGCAGCCCACUCUGCGGAGAAGAUUCCCAAAUGGAUUGCUGUAACUGCUGUGCGCUGGGUCUGCGUUUGCGAAGGGAAGGUGAAGGUUGUGAAGUGCAUCAGCACCUGAGCUACCCUUGCGGACACGUCUUCCUCACCUGCUGCGAGGAGGGAGAGGAGGGUCUUGCUCCGCCUAUGAUCAAGAAAAAACAGAGGCCUCAACCGACCGUUCUUCCUAAGAGAGCCUGGAUCAUAUUUGGAAGCAUCUGAAGUC
rnacentral:lncRNA from 1 species